AACCAUAUAAAUAAAAUAAACAAACCUAUUGAUUGAUAGCCAAAAACCAAAAAAAAGAAAGGGUCUUGCUCCUGGAGAUUCCAACAGUGUGGAGACGCGGGGGAAUUAUCAUUAUCAUACCCGCGCCUGCCUGGCCUGACACGGUUCCCUCCCCGGCAGUCGCCAAACUUUCUUCUUUCACGCCAAAAUCGUCCUCUGCAUUUUCCAACUUUUACCAAUCUCAUUCCUUACCUUCCCUUCUCUCUCUCUUCUUCCUUGUUAAUUCUUAAUUACUUUUUUGGUUCUUCUUUCUCCCUUUUUCUUUGCCCUACUUACCUACAUUAAAAGGAAAAAAAAAAUCGUAACGCAGUUAGGUUGAACUUUGUCGGAGCCGCAUCGCAUGACCAGUGAUUUUGUUUGCUAUCUCCCUCUGUUGAAGAGUGCGCUUUCACUCACUCUGUCUCUCUCUCUCUCUCUCUCUCUCUUUUUUUUUUUUCUUUCUUUUUUCUGUUUGUUUCCUCACCUGCGAUGCAAUUUCUUCGACAGUAUUUCAGAGCUUGAUCGAAUCGAGCGGGCGAGAAGCGAUACCGAAAUGCUAAAUGCUGCGCCCAAGGGUGUGAAAGAGUGGUUGAAGCCAACCCGCCAAGCAAUCUCAAACUGUGCAACUUCCCCCACCACCACGCCGAAGUCGGUUUCUACUGCUCACUAUCAAUAAUCCGCAUAUCGCCCGACGAGGACUUGGCCUUUGCCUUCCGAUCCUUGCGGCGGAAGUAGAUGCGCUUCCCCAACUUCCACGCCUCGACGCCAGCAAAGAACAACAUCGCCUCGAUAAAGACAAUCCCCCACUCCCACGUGAUGCCCUUGUGCUUGAACACGACUGUGUUGAUGACGGGGAUGUACAGCAGCGGGAAGAUGGUGAUGAAACCGGCCAUGAUGGCCCAGAAGAGGAACUGGUUUCGCCACACAUCGUGCAUCCACUGCGUGAAGUACUUCUUGGACUUGGGCUGCAUGCGGAAGAAGCUGCGGCGCAUGUUGACCAUCUCCCACGCGAGGAAGAGCGCGAACCACGUCAAGCAUACGAAGGUCGUGGCGCGCGCGCGGAAGACGGUAUCGCAUUGCUCUGAGUACCUGGUGUUGCAGCCGCGGCCGAGGUUGCCGUCGCCGAACCCGUACACGACCAGGGUGAAGGAGGCGAGGCAGAGAGCGGACAUCCAGAGGCCGUAGGCGAGUAUGUCGACGAUGAUUUCCCAAGUGAAGAUACCUUGUUUCUAUAUUACAGAAUUUUUUUUUCUUUGGUUAGAAAAACAUGCCAUAAAAAAAAAAAAAAGGAAAAAGAAAGAAAAGAAAAGAAAGGUAAGUAGAGAUUCUUUGCAGGAAGAGUAGAACUUGUGUUGGGGCGGGGGGGGGAAACGUACACUUUGUGGUGGACGAUCCAUGAUAUCCGGAGCGGCAAUUUCCAUACCAAGACCCAUAUCAGGCAUUCCAGACGUAAUCAUGAUGAUCCAGAGAAUCUCAACGGGCGCCAAGGGAAACACAGACUGCCUAUCGACAUCCUUGAACGCUAACCCGAUCAGCAACGUACAGGCCUGCGCAAUGUUCUCGGCCAGUAGAUGCAGGACGAAUUUCUGGAUAUUGUCGAAGAUACGGCGGCCCUCCUCGAUGGCGUUGAGAAUCGAGGCGAAAUUGUCGUCGGUCAGAACGAUAUCGGAUGCAUCCUUGGCGACGUCGGAGCCAGAUUCGCCCAUGGCAAUUCCAACAUCGGCGUGCUUCAGGGACGGCGAGUCAUUGACUCCGUCGCCUGUCAUGGCGCAGAAGCGGCCGCGUCGAUGGAGGGCUUGGAUCAUGCGGACCUUGGUAUUUGGGGCGCAUCGGGCAAUGACCAGUGGUAGAGUGGGCAGGGCGUCGACUUCGUCAUCAGUGAGUUUGUCGAAUUGGCCGGCCGUCAUGACCAUAGCGUCUGCGACGUCCUUCGCCACCUUGUUCAUAUCAGAGGGGAUGAUGCCAACUUGAGCAGCAAUGGCGCGUGCGGUACCAGGGUGAUCUCCUGUGACCAUGUGGACGGAGAUCCCGGCGCGGAAACAUUCCUCGAUCGAACCCGCGGUUUCGGGGCGAGGGGGGUCGUACAGGCCAAUCAAACCCCGGAAAACCAAUUCCCUUUCAAUGUCUUCACGAUUGUAAUCGCCGUCCUCCAGCUGGGAGGGUUUGUAUUCCCGUCCGGCUAAAGCCAAAACGCGCAGUCCCUGAGCGGCAAUGACCUCCAUAUUCGCAAGGAUCUGAGAGGUAUGUUCCUCGGUCAACGGGACGCGUCCUUCGCCCUCUUUCCAAACGAUGGAAGUGCACGCCUCAAGAACCCGUUCGACAGCACCCUUCGUGAAUACCAUCUGGCGGCCAUCUUUCAGGUUUUCGAAAAUAACAGACAUCUUUUUGAUGCUCGAAUCGAAGGGGAAUUCAGCUUUCUGGUGCCACUGCGCGUCCGUACCUUUAGUCCACCUGUCCCUGUUCCAGUUGAAGCGGGAUGCGAAGACCUGGAUGGCGAUUUCUGUAGGUUCGCCACGGGCAUGCCAUUCACCAUGCUCCGACUUGUAAACGUGAGCAAGGUUGGCCAUGGACGCGAUAUCGAGAUACUGGACAAGAUCGUCGUUGUCUCUGAGAAGGUCCUCGGGCGAGGUGACUUCAGUCGGUUCGUCGUUGAUUGCUGCUUCCACAGGAGGCAGCGCCUCGAAGCCCAUGGCCCCAGCGUGCGGGUUGAACGGUUCAUUCGAGGUUCCAAUAGAGUAUGUCCCGCGAGGCGGAAUCCACGCCUUCUUCGCCACCAUUUUACCUUGGGUUAAUGUUCCAGUCUUAUCCGAGCAAAUGUUGGUGACGGCACCCAAUGCUUCGAGCGAGUCAAGUUUGCGAACAAUGACGUGUCUUUCGACCAUCCGUUUGGUACCAACAGCCAUCGUAAUUGUCAAGACAACAACCAAACAUGCGGGAAUCAUACUGAGACCGGUAGCGACAGCAUAAAUGAUAACUUCGUUUUUGCUGCUGAACUUGUUUGCAGCCAUAACAAUGAUAGCAAAUAAGACGGCCACUCCGAACAGAAUCAGAGCCAGCUUGGAGAGCUUUCGUUGCAACGGCGUUCCGACGUUGACGCCGAGGAAUCGGCCGACGGCAUCGGUGCCGGUCAAAGCCCAUGCCUGCAAGUACCAGCGCUUUUUGGUUUCACCUUCAGGGGUACGCUUGACAGGACGAAUUUUUGAAUCAGUUGCGCGGAGGGCAGCAGCGAUAGACCCAAUUUCAGUCCUCAUGCCGGUAGAUACGACGACACCGCGAGCACGGCCUCUGGUCACAGUUGAGGAGCUGUAGGCAAUAUUCAGGCGAUCGCCCGGACCGGUAUCCUCUUUAAAGGUCUGGUCUGCAUCCUUUUGCACGGGGAGAGAUUCGCCGGUAAGUAGAGCCUCAUCGGUUUCGAAGUUGACCGCUUCUACAAGUCUGUUUCACGAAUCAAGAAAUAUGCAUAUAUAAAAUUCAUUAGUCCUACGUUGCUAGUACGAUCUAUAGGGUAGUAUGAAAUGAUAUCAAGGUAAUCUCACCUUAUAUCUGCAGGGACUGUGUCACCAGUCCUGAGUUCAACCAUGUCACCAGGAACGAUCUCAAGAGACGGGAUGGUUGAGGUAGUUCCCUCCCGCGAAACAUUACCCGUAGGGGAGCUCAAGGAACGCAGAGAAUCCAUCGUCUUCUCCGCAGCGUAUUCCUGGAAGAAACCAACAAUGAUAUUGAGGAUGAUAACGGCAGCGACGACGCCACCUUCAAUCCAAGAUUGAAUGCCAAAACUGACUGCCAUGGCCAUGAUAAGGACCUGUUACAAAGGAUGGCAACAUGCCAUUGGAUCAGACAAACAACGCUCCAUGCAAUCAACAGUGGGGGAAAGGGGUAAAGGAAGUGGGCCGCUUAACUAGCAUCAUUGCGUUAGCCACCUGGCGCACGAGAAUCUUCACGAUGGAGACCUCCUCGCCACCGUCGAGCAUGUUGGGGCCAUAGAUUUCCAGACGGCGCUUGGCUUCUCCCGUCGAGAGGCCAUCUUCGGGGUCAGUUCCUAGUUCGCGGAUAACGGCGCCAUAGGGUAGGCUAUGAGCGGGGAGAGAGAGGUGGACCUCCUGGGAACCCGUGCUCGAGUUUGACUCGCUGUUUGUUUGGGUAGCGAGCUUCUCAGAUUUCUCCAUGAUGAUGAUGAUGGUAGAAUUGAGACUUUGGUGCAAUACUCAAUAUAUGGCAGUGAUAUUGGUAGUGGUGGGUUUAUUGAUGGUGAUAGGAAACCAGCAAAUGUUAGGGAGCAAUGCAGAGCGAGCGAACAGCGACGGAGGAAUAGCAGGCGGGUCUCAUUUGGAGAGAGGAGAGGGCCUGUCAAGACAGAUGAUGCUGAUGACGAUGAUUUUUCCGUACUCUUAUACUUUCUUGACUAUUUUUCACCACUAGACAGACACGGAUAGAAAGCAGAGUUGUCUAAGCUAUGAUUCUUAGAGAUGAGGACAAAUCCCAAGUAUACAAGGGCACAGAGCAGUGGCAACUAUCAGUCCCGAAAAUUCCGUAAUCAGCCUGUGAUUCUCCUAGACAGGUGAAUCACCGAGCAAAGUGAUGGACGGAGACUGGAGAUGCGAGAUGGGAACAAGAGAGGAAAACAGGA
rnacentral:sRNA from 1 species